UACGUAGGGGGCAAGCGUUGUCCGGAUUUAUUGGGCGUAAAGCGCGUGUAGGCGGCCAGGUAGGUCCGCUGUGAAAACUCGAGGCUCAACCUCGAGACGUCGGCGGAAACCAUCUGGCUAGAGUUCGGAAGAGGAGAGUGGAAUUCCUGGUGUAGCGGUGAAAUGCGCAGAUAUCAGGAAGAAUAUCCGUGGCGAAGGCGGCUCUCUGGGACGGUACUGACGCUGAGACGCGAAAGCGUGGGGAGCGAACAGG
rnacentral:rRNA from 1 species